rnacentral:rRNA from 1 species
AACGAACGCUGGCGGCAUGCCUAACACAUGCAAGUCGAACGAAGGCUUCGGCCUUAGUGGCGCACGGGUGCGUAACGCGUGGCAAUCUGCCCAAGGGUACGGAAUAACUCCUCGAAAGGGGUGCUAAUACCGUAUGAUGUCGCAAGACCAAAGAUUUAUCGCCUUUGGAUGAGCCCGCGUAGGAUUAGGUAGUUGGUGAGGUAAAGGCUCACCAAGCCGACGAUCCUUAGCUGGUCUGAGAGGAUGAUCAGCCACACUGGGACUGAGACACGGCCCAGACUCCUACGGGAGGCAGCAGUGGGGAAUAUUGGACAAUGGGCGAAAGCCUGAUCCAGCAAUGCCGCGUGAGUGAUGAAGGCCUUAGGGUUGUAAAGCUCUUUUACCCGGGAAGAUAAUGACUGUACCGGGAGAAUAAGCCCCGGCUAACUCCGUGCCAGCCGCCGCGGUAAUAC